GCUGCUAGUGGACUGGCUCGGUGCUGGACAAGCUAAUCGCUCGGUUGUAUCAGUACAGUGGAUGGAGAGUGGAUGAAGGCAAGAAUCGUGUUCCAAAUACAUGGCUCUCCACCUCGACCACGUAUUUAGGUUUGGUUUCAGAACAACCUGAACAUCAGGAGGCAUUCAUCCUCUGUGAAGGAGACAUCCAAGGAUUGAUACUGGAACAUUUGAACCAAACCAGGAGAUAUAUCUACCCAAAAACAGAAGUGUUGGGGUUUAGAUGUCUCAUCUGAGAGCAAAGACAGGUGGUGUACAGUACAAGGUAAUUAAUGCUGGUAAAAAAUUCAGAACAAAGUGGCCAAAAGGCUGAGCUCCAAUUCAACAGAAUCUCUUUAAUAGAAAAGCAAGACAUCUGAAUGAAUUUUAUAUGCUCCUUGAACUGCUCAAGCCUUUGAAAUAACUCAGCUGGAAGUUUUAGUCGAUAUGAAUGGAGACAUUCAAAAUAUCUUUGUGCUCUUCUGUCAAUAAAAGGUGGCAAAAGGCUAAACAGAUGGAAUUAGACAGCAGAGUUCAAGAUUCAAGCAUCCUCCACAGGGAAAAAGCCAUUCACUAGUAAUCAAAAUUGAGAAAUUUCAUAUGAAUUUAUUUCUGUGUUUGGUACUAAAGAAACAGCUUUCAUGCAUGAGUGAUGUUAGGGGUGGAAGUAGAGAAAUCUACCUAUUAAUGAUUAAUCCAGUGCUGGAAAAAUUCUGAAUUCCAUCUUUUUCCAACUCCAUUUGCGAAUUGUGUGUUCUCUGAAGGACAGCAAGCAGAGGAGCUGGCAGUGUUGGAAAGCAGCAGUGAGUGGACGUGCUCAUGUGAGCCAUCAUGCAGCACUGCUGGCCUUCUUGGGUGGGUGAAUGCGGGAGUGCAUCCAUGGAGAGGAACUCUAGAACAACUGCGGAAGCUCCAAGGUGUGAGGAGUUUCAAUAGUUCCCUCAGCACCUCCUGCCAUGGGCCUGUGGUUCUUUCCAAACAUCAGCACUGCAGCACAGUGUUGCUGGCGUGCUGAGGCCUGGAUGAGAUGCCUUUUGAAAACAAACUCUUCCAGCUAAUUUGGAAAGGAAGUCAGAGCUGCUGAAAGAGGAUGAGAUGAUGUUGUGCCAGACCACUUUCAUAGCCCUCAGACUUUACCUAAAUACAGAGGGUGCUCCAGAGAUCAGCACAAUGACUUGUGCCCAUAUAAUGCCCCUCAACUUGAUUGGGUUUGAUGAAUGAAUUGUUUGAAUCUGCAACACAGCUGUGGCAGAAAGUUUUUA